UCCUUUAUUCCGAUUAGAGGAUCAGGGAAGC
rnacentral:piRNA from 1 species